AUUGAACGCUGGCGGCAGGCCUAACACAUGCAAGUCGAACGAGUGGCGGACGGGUGAGUCAUGUCUGGGAAACUGCCCGAUGGAGGGGGGUAACUACUGGAAACGGUAGCUAAUACCGCAUACCAUCGGAUGUGCCCAGAUGGGCUGAGCUAGUAGGUGGGGUAACGGGUCACCUAGGCGACGCUCCCUAGCUGGUCUGAGAGGAUGACCAGCAACACUGGGACUGAGACACGGUCCAGACGCCUACGCGAGGCAGAAGUGGGGAAUAGUGUAAAAUGGGCGCAAGCCUGAUGCAGCAAUGCGGCGUGUAUGAAGAAGGCCUUCGGGUUGUAAGGUACCUACAGCGAGGAGGCGUUACUCGCAGAAGAAGAACCGGCUAUCUCCGGGACAGCAGCCGCGGUAAUUC
rnacentral:rRNA from 1 species